AGCAGCCGCGGUAAUUCCAGCUCCAAUAGCGUAUAUUAAAGUUGUUGCAGUUAAAAAGCUCGUAGUUGAAUUUCGGGAUUGACACAUCGGUCGUGCCUUAAGGGGUAUGAACUGGUGUAGUCAAUUUCUCACCUUCUGGAGAACCGCGAUGCCCUUAAUUGGGUGCCGCGGGGAACCAGGACCUUUACUUUGAAAAAAUUAGAGUGUUUAAAGCAGGCAUUUUGCUUGAAUACAUUAGCAUGGAAUAAUAAAAUAGGACGGCAUGAUUCUAUUUUGUUGGUUUCUAGGAUCACCGUAAUGAUUAAUAGGGAUAGUUGGGGGCAUUAGUAUUCAAUUGUCAGAGGUGAAAUUCUUGGAUUUAUUGAAGACUAACUACUGCGAAAGCAUUUGCCAAGGAUGUUUUCAUUAAUCAAGAACGAAAGUUAGGGGAUCGAAGACGAUCAGAUACCGUCGUAGUCUUAACCAUAAACUAUGCCGACUAGGAAUCAGACGAUGUUAAUUUUUUAAUGACUCGUUUGGC
rnacentral:misc_RNA from 2 species